GCCAGAGUAGCUCAGUUGGUAGAGCAACUCUUUCGUAAAGAGUGGGUCGGAGGUUCGAAUCCUCUCUCUGGCU
rnacentral:tRNA from 5 species